CCUGCCACCCUUUCUAUCCACCCUUUCUUCAAUUUCUGGCGUCUAUCUGCUAUUGUCAUUCAUCACUCCUUUCAUUCUCGAUGUUCAUUCAUUCAUUCCCAACAUCUCUUUUCAAUUAUCAUUUGCCCGUUCAUUCAUUUUCUUGGGCAAAGUAGUGUCCUUCUCCCUGCAUCCAUUGGUCCGAUCGAGCACACUCCCAUUUGAGCGGCU
rnacentral:lncRNA from 1 species